UAAGAUAACUUCUACAUUCUCCUCCUAUACAUCUUGUCUCUAUUACUAUAUUGUUCUAUUUUGCUCUCAUUUCUUAACAACUUAAAAUAUUUUCAAAAGAUUUGAGGAGGCAAAGGAGAUCUAUAUAAAGACAAAAUUGAAAUUUUAGAUGCUUUUAAAUGGUUAAAAACUAGAAUGGGACUGGGAGCAGCCCCCAGCUGCAGCACUGCCCUUUCAAAUGCAAAUAUUUGUUUUAUAUGUUCUGCUUGCUGUAAAAUUGAGUAAAAGAAAGGAAAGCAAGGGGAAAACGAAGCAAAAGGAUGUAUAAAACUGAGGUAUGUGUCCGUACUACCACAUCGGAAGAGAACGCCAACGCAAGGUGUUUACACUAUUAUAAAAUUCCAGGCGAGCCACUUAGAAUUCUCACGCAGCCACGCGGUGAGCACAAAGCGAACUAUUCUUUCGCCUUUUACUAAAGAAUACCGUGUGCGCGCCGCAAAUAGAGGCAUACGCCUAUUUUUGGAGGGGUUCUCUUCUUUAGAGUUCCCCUACAACUCUAGUGUAGUAUUUAGAACUCGUUUCCUAUGUAAACUAAAACAAAAUGUGGUUAAACUCUUGUUUCAGUUAAAAGUCUUAGUGUAAUUUUUGGUUUAUGCGUUCUUUAUGAGGACUUGAUGUAUCUUUUUACCAAAUCUGAGAGCAGUGAAACAAUUUAGUUCUUAAUUUUUA